rnacentral:rRNA from 1 species
ACAAUGAAGAGUUUGAUCCUGGCUCAGGAUGAACGCUAGCUACAGGCUUAACACAUGCAAGUCGAGGGGCAGCAUGAUUGAAGCUUGCUUCAAUCGAUGGCGACCGGCGCACGGGUGAGUAACACGUAUCCAACCUGCCGAUAACUCGGGGAUAGCCUUUCGAAAGAAAGAUUAAUACCCGAUAGUAUAGUUUUUCCGCAUGGUUUCACUAUUAAAGAAUUUCGGUUAUCGAUGGGGAUGCGUUCCAUUAGAUAGUUGGCGGGGUAACGGCCCCAAGUCAACGAUGGAUAGGGGUUCUGAGAGGAAGGUCCCCCACAUUGGAACUGAGACACGGUCCAAACUCCUACGGGAGGCAGCAGUGAGGAAUAUUGGUCAAUGGACGAGAGUCUGAACCAGCCAAGUAGCGUGAAGGAUGACUGCCCUAUGGGUUGUAAACUUCUUUUAUACGGGAAUAAAGUGGAGUAUGCAUACUCCUUUGUAUGUACCGUAUGAAUAAGGAUCGGCUAACUCGUGCCAGCAGCCGCGGUAAUACGGAGGAUCCGAGCGUUAUCCGGAUUUAUUGGGUUUAAAGGGAGCGUAGGCGGGUGCUUAAGUCAGUUGUGAAAGUUUGCGGCUCAACCGUAAAAUUGCAGUUGAUACUGGGCGCCUUGAGUGCAGCAUAGGUAGGCGGAAUUCGUGGUGUAGCGGUGAAAUGCUUAGAUAUCACGAAGAACUCCGAUUGCGAAGGCAGCUUACUGGACUGUAACUGACGCUGAUGCUCGAAAGUGUGGGUAUCAAACAGGAUUAGAUACCCUGGUAGUCCACACAGUAAACGAUGAAUACUCGCUGUUGGCGAUACACAGUCAGCGGCCAAGCGAAAGCAUUAAGUAUUCCACCUGGGGAGUACGCCGGCAACGGUGAAACUCAAAGGAAUUGACGGGGGCCCGCACAAGCGGAGGAACAUGUGGUUUAAUUCGAUGAUACGCGAGGAACCUUACCCGGGCUUAAAUUGCAGCGGAAUGUAGUGGAAACAUUACAGCCUUCGGGCCGCUGUGAAGGUGCUGCAUGGUUGUCGUCAGCUCGUGCGUGAGGUGUCGGCUUAAGUGCCAUAACGAGCGCAACCCUUAUCUAUAGUUACUAUCAGGUCAUGCUGAGGACUCUAUGGAGACUGCCGUCGUAAGAUGUGAGGAAGGUGGGGAUGACGUCAAAUCAGCACGGCCCUUACGUCCGGGGCUACACACGUGUUACAAUGGGGGGUACAGAAGGCAGCUACCUGGCGACAGGAUGCUAAUCCCGAAAACCUCUCUCAGUUCGGAUUGGAGUCUGCAACCCGACUCCAUGAAGCUGGAUUCGCUAGUAAUCGCGCAUCAGCCACGGCGCGGUGAAUACGUUCCCGGGCCUUGUACACACCGCCCGUCAAGCCAUGAAAGCCGGGGGUACCUGAAGUACGUAACCGCAAGGAGCGUCCUAGGGUAAAACUGGUGAUUGGGGCUAAGUCGUAACAAGGUAGCCGUACCGGAAGGUGCGGCUGGAACACCUCCUUU